UACAGAGGUCCCAAGCGUUGUUCGGAUUCACUGGGCGUAAAGGGUGCGUAGGUGGUUAGGUAAGUCCGAUGUGAAAUCUCCAGGCUCAACCUGGAAAUGGCAUUGGAUACUAUCUAGCUUGAGGAGUGGAGGGGGGACUGGAAUUCUCGGUGUAGCAGUGAAAUGCGUAGAUAUCGAGAGGAACACCAGUGGCGAAGGCGGCUCACUGGCCCGAUACUGACGCUGAGGCACGAAAGCGUGGGGAGCAAACAGG
rnacentral:rRNA from 1 species